CCGCUUUGAGCUGUGCGUCAGUGUACGUGAAGCUGACUGCCGAGAGUGCCGAGCAAGUGCAGCAGAGUGCAUAUAAAUACAACGAAAUAAGUGUUUAUACUCCAAUUGUAUUGUAUUCUCCAGCAAAGUCGUAAUUCUAUUUUAUAAAUUGGCCAAAGUUGUAGAUAUGGGAGGAAAUAACGAUCAAAACGAAAAAAUCAAGACAGGUGCAACCGUAGGUGCAGUGGCGGGUACAGUUGCCGGGGCGGCGGCGCUCGGGAGCUGUUUGGGUCCGCCGGGGGCAGUGCUUGGGGGCCUCUGGGGCUUAGGGCUGGGCAUGGCUUCAGGCGGCGCCAUGGGCUCCUACGCUGGCAGAAAGAAAUGAAAAUAAACAUAGCGUUGUUCUAGUGCAGUAGAUGACGGAGGCGAUCAGCAAA